rnacentral:rRNA from 1 species
GCUGGCAGGUAGCUCUCUGCAACUCUCACAUGAUCGCCCACUGAAGCCAAGCAGGGCUAAGCCUGGUCAGUACCUGGAUGGGAGGAGACCACAUGGGAAAGCUAGGUUGCUGCCGGAA